rfam:Ciona savignyi cont_26566, whole genome shotgun sequence.
UCCCAGGUGGUCUAGUGGUUAGGAUUCGUGGCUCUCACCCACGCGGCCCUGGUUCGAUUCCUGGUUUGGGAA